rnacentral:lncRNA from 1 species
CUGCCCUAGGAUUUUCUUGGGUGACCUUUUUGAGAUGUGUAGGCCGGUGAUGGAUAGGAGGAUCGAGGCUGCUUAGACUUGAAAAGUACCCACCUACUCCAUAGUGAGACUCUUUCUUUGGAAGCUUGCAUUGGAUCGACUUUCAACGCGCAUGCUUCUUAGAGAUAAGUGAAGGGAAGCGUGGUGGUCUUAUGCCUGCAUUUUUAAAACUUUACGAUGGAAUAUACAUAGAUUAAAUAAUUUAAUCUAUAAUG